rnacentral:rRNA from 1 species
GACGAACGCUGGCGGCGUGCUUAACACAUGCAAGUCGAACGGAAAGGCCCUGCUUUUGUGGGGUGCUCGAGUGGCGAACGGGUGAGUAACACGUGAGUAACCUGCCCUUGACUUUGGGAUAACUUCAGGAAACUGGGGCUAAUACCGGAUAGGAGCUCCUGCUGCAUGGUGGGGGUUGGAAAGUUUCGGCGGUUGGGGAUGGACUCGCGGCUUAUCAGCUUGUUGGUGGGGUAGUGGCUUACCAAGGCUUUGACGGGUAGCCGGCCUGAGAGGGUGACCGGCCCCUUGGGGGGGUAGCGGCGGCCCGGAGCCCCCGGGGAGGCAGGGGGGGGGAAUAUGGCAACAGGGGCGGAGGGCGGAGGCAGAGGGGCCGGGGGCGGGAGGGGGGGCUUGGGGUUGAAAAACCCUUGCGGGGGGGACGAGGGGUGGGGGGCGGUAAAGGGUAAGGACGCCCCGGCAAACGACG